rnacentral:misc_RNA from 1 species
UCCGGUUUGUCACCGGCAGUCCCAUUAGAGUGCUCAACUAAAUGUGGCAACUAAUGGCAAGGGUUGCGCUCGUUGCGGGACUUAACCCAACAUCUCACGACACGAGCUGACGACAGCCAUGCAGCACCUGUCUCCGCGCCCCUUGCGGGGACCACCCAUCUCUGGGCUUAGCACGGGAUGUCAAGGCCUGGUAAGGUUCUGCGCGUUGCGUCGAAUUAAACCACAUGCUCCACCGUUGUGUCCCCGUCAAUUCCUUUGAGUUUUAGUCUUGCGACCGUACUCCCCAGGCGGAUGACUUCUCGCGUUAGCUGCGUUACCAAGUCAAUUAAGACCCGACAACUAGUAGACAUCGUUUAGGGCGUGGACUAC